rnacentral:tRNA from 1 species
UUGGCUGAAAUCGAUUGCUGCAAAGCAGCGAGCAACUGCCUUCUAAGCAGUCGGUCGAUGGUUCGAAUCCAUCAGGGG